rnacentral:rRNA from 1 species
UGGGGAAUCUUUCGCAAUGGACGAAAGUCUGACGGAGCAACGCCGCGUGAGUGAUGACGGCCUUCGGGUUGUAAAGCUCUGUUAAUCGGGACGAAUGGUUCUUGUGCGAAUAGUGCGAGGAUUUGACGGUACCGGAAUAGAAAGCCACGGCUAACUACGUGCCAGCAGCCGCGGUAAUACGUAGGUGGCAAGCGUUGUCCGGAAUUAUUGGGCGCAAAGCGCGCGCAGGCGGAUUGGUCAGUCUGUCUUAAAAGUUCGGGGCUUAACCCCGUGAUGGGAUGGAAACUGCCAAUCUAGAGUAUCGGAGAGGAAAGUGGAAUUCCUAGUGUAGCGGUGAAAUGCGUAGAUAUUAGGAAGAACACCAGUGGCGAAGGCGACUUUCUGGACGAAAACUGACGCUGAGGCGCGAAAGCCAGGGGAGCGAACGGG